rnacentral:rRNA from 1 species
AGACCCGAAACCCGGUGAUCUAGCCAUGGGCAGGUUGAAGGUUGGGUAACACUAACUGGAGGACCGAACCGACUAAUGUUGAAAAAUUAGCGGAUGACCUGUGGCUGGGGGUGAAAGGCCAAUCAAACCGGGAGAUAGCUGGUUCUCCCCGAAAGCUAUUUAGGUAGCGCCUCGUGAAUUCAUCUCCGGGGGUAGAGCACUGUUUCGGCUAGGGGGCCAUCCCGGCUUACCAACCCGAUGCAAACUGCGAAUACCGGAGAAUGUUAUCACGGGAGACACACGGCGGGUGCUAACGUCCGUCGUGAAGAGGGAAACAACCCAGACCGCCAGCUAAGGUCCCAAAGUCAUGGUUAAGUGGGAAACGAUGUGGGAAGGCCCAGACAGCCAGGAUGUUGGCUUAGAAGCAGCCAUCAUUUAAAGAAAGCGUAAUAGCUCACUGGUCGAGUCGGCCUGCGCGGAAGAUGUAACGGGGCUAAACCAUGCACCGAAGCUGCGGCAGCGAACGUAUCACUUAAAGCGAUUCAGCGGGUUACGAUUGACGGAGCGAAGCGACGUCAAAGCGUAUACAAAGUCGAGUCGGUUUAAGGAUACGUUCGUUGGGUAGGGGAGCGUUCUGUAAGCCUGUGAAGGUGGCCUGUGAGGGUUGCUGGAGGUAUCAGAAGUGCGAAUGCUGACAUAAGUAACGAUAAAGCGGGUGAAAAGCCCGCUCGCCGGAAGACCAAGGGUUCCUGUCCAACGUUAAUCGGGGCAGGGUGAGUCGACCCCUAAGGCGAGGCCGAAAGGCGUAGUCGAUGGGAAACGGGUUAAUAUUCCCGUACUUGGUGUUACUGCGAAGGGGGGACGGAGAAGGCUAUGUUGGCCGGGCGACGGUUGUCCCGGUUUAAGCGUGUAGGUGUGUGUUCCAGGUAAAUCCGGUUCACUUUAACACUGAGGCGUGAUGACGAGGCACUACGGUGCUGAAGCAACAAAUGCCCUGCUUCCAGGAAAAGCCUCUAAGCAUCAGGUAACAUCAAAUCGUACCCCAAACCGACACAGGUGGUCAGGUAGAGAAUACCAAGGCGCUUGAGAGAACUCGGGUGAAGGAACUAGGCAAAAUGGUGCCGUAACUUCGGGAGAAGGCACGCUGACACGUAGGUGAAGUGAUUUACUCAUGGAGCUGAAGUCAGUCGAAGAUACCAGCUGGCUGCAACUGUUUAUUAAAAACACAGCACUGUGCAAACACGAAAGUGGACGUAUACGGUGUGACGCCUGCCCGGUGCCGGAAGGUUAAUUGAUGGGGUCAGCGCAAGCGAAGCUCCUGAUCGAAGCCCCGGUAAACGGCGGCCGUAACUAUAACGGUCCUAAGGUAGCGAAAUUCCUUGUCGGGUAAGUUCCGACCUGCACGAAUGGCGUAAUGAUGGCCAGGCUGUCUCCACCCGAGACUCAGUGAAAUUGAACUCGCUGUGAAGAUGCAGUGUACCCGCGGCAAGACGGAAAGACCCCGUGAACCUUUACUAUAGCUUGACACUGAACAUUGAGCCUUGAUGUGUAGGAUAGGUGGGAGGCUUUGAAGCGUGGACGCCAGUCUGCGUGGAGCCGACCUUGAAAUACCACCCUUUAAUGUUUGAUGUUCUAACGUGGACCCGUAAUCCGGGUUGCGGACAGUGUCUGGUGGGUAGUUUGACUGGGGCGGUCUCCUCCUAAAGAGUAACGGAGGAGCACGAAGGUUGGCUAAUCCUGGUCGGACAUCAGGAGGUUAGUGCAAUGGCAUAAGCCAGCUUGACUGCGAGCGUGACGGCGCGAGCAGGUGCGAAAGCAGGUCAUAGUGAUCCGGUGGUUCUGAAUGGAAGGGCCAUCGCUCAACGGAUAAAAGGUACUCCGGGGAUAACAGGCUGAUACCGCCCAAGAGUUCAUAUCGACGGCGGUGUUUGGCACCUCGAUGUCGGCUCAUCACAUCCUGGGGCUGAAGUAGGUCCCAAGGGUAUGGCUGUUCGCCAUUUAAAGUGGUACGCGAGCUGGGUUUAGAACGUCGUGAGACAGUUCGGUCCCUAUCUGCCGUGGGCGCUGGAGAACUGAGGGGGGCUGCUCCUAGUACGAGAGGACCGGAGUGGACGCAUCACUGGUGUUCGGGUUGUCAUGCCAAUGGCACUGCCCGGUAGCUAAAUGCGGAAGAGAUAAGUGCUGAAAGCAUCUAAGCACGAAACUUGCCCCGAGAUGAGUUCUCCCUGAGACUUAGAGUCUCCUGAAGGAACGUUGAAGACGACGACGUUGAUAGGCCGGGUGUGUAAGCGCAGCGAUGCGUUGAGCUAACCGGUACUAAUGAACCGUGAGGCUUAACCUUAC